UUUUUUUUUUUGUUUACCCCCCUACAUUUCCACAAUCUUUUCCUAAUAAUAUCUUCCUCCUUCUUCUUUUCAUCAUUGCUUUCUUGUCUCCUCUCCUCUUUCACUUUUAUUUUGUUUAUAAAUUAAGCUCAUAUCUCUCUCUCUGAUCUCCCUCUCUCUCUGUUAAAAGCUAGGGUUUUCUUAUGGAGUCCAUGUUCAUCAGUGAAGCUUUUUCUUUUGAGGGGAAUGUUGUCUGGCACGAGGCCCUUAACUAAGAUCUACUACACUUGAUUAUAUAUUUAUAAGCUUCAUUCCCCUCAAUUACAUCGCUUUGAUCCUUCCUUCUUCGAGUACAUACGCUCGUAAUCUGAUCAGGUUAGUUUCAUUCAUAUAUCUUUUCUAUUAUUAGUGAUUGGUUAAGCUUCGUUCAUCUUCCUUUCUCUAAAUUAAACGAUAUCAACUUCAAUUUCUAUGGAUGAUUUCAUAUAAAAAUUGUGGGUUGUGUUUAUUUUGUAUGGUUUUGCUAGCUAGGACGUUUUGGGGUAUAUACUAAUUAAUUAACUACAUGUUGAGGUUGCUAGUUGAUUUCUUGGUAUAUAUAUCAGAUUCUUACUUGUGUAUUCUGCUCAAAUUACAAACAAAAUAGUGUUACAACAUAGUUUUUCAAGAUCGAUUUAUAUAUUAAAACUUAUUGUUCAGAUUUGAAUAUUUAGUUUGUUUGUAAAACUACAUCUUAUUCAGUAUUUGUCGUUAUUAUAUAUAAUUAAUUUGUCGUUGUUUCUGGUUUCAUUCAUCCAAUGGUGUUUACUUAUUUAUUGUUAUAAGAGCCUGGAUUAUUAUGUAUGUGGAAAGAAUUUGAAAAGAAGAAGCAGAAGAAGGGCUAGUGCCAGUGGGAUGAUAAGAGAAGUAGAUGCUUUGCUUUAGGUGAUGCUUACAAAAAAUGACUUUUAAUACAAUGAGUGAAUUCUCUUCUUAAUUAUUGCAUUUUUUUUACUUUAUUUUUUUUGGAAACGUAUGAUUCACAAAGGUGAAACUACAGAAUCAAUCCUAUUUCACUCACUCAUAUAAAGUUUCGAAUGUUUGGUGUCUCCACCGCAAAAAAAGAAAAAAAAAAAGAAAGGGUAUAUGAUUGUUCUAAAUAUAACUUUGUAAAAAUCGUUUUGAUCUUUCUAACUUUUGGGUGAAACUAUACCAUUCAUGCA